rnacentral:rRNA from 1 species
CCUACGGGAGGCAGCAGUGAGGAAUAUUGGUCAAUGGGCGUAAGCCUGAACCAGCCAAGUCGCGUGAGGGAUGAAGGUUCUAUGGAUCGUAAACCUCUUUUAUAAGGGAAUAAAGUGUGGGACGUGUCCUAUUUUGUAUGUACCUUAUGAAUAAGGAUCGGCUAACUCCGGGCCAGCAGCCGCGGUAAUACGGAGGCUCCGAGCGUUAUCCGGAUUUAUUGGGUUUAAAGGGUGCGUAGGCGGCCUUUUAAGUCAGCGGUGAAAGUCUGUGGCUCAACCAGAGAAUUGCCGUUGAAACUGGGGGGCAUGAGUAUGUUGGAGGCAGGCGGAAUGCGUGGUGUAGCGGUGAAAUGCGUAGAUAUCACGCAGAACCCCGAUUGCGAAGGCAGCCUGCCAGGCCAUGACUGACGCUGAUGCACGAAAGCGUGGGGAUCAAACAGGAUUAGAUACCCUUGUAGUC